rnacentral:rRNA from 1 species
UACAGAGGGGGCAAGCGUUGUUCGGAAUUACUGGGCGUAAAGGGCGCGUAGGCGGCCUUCUAAGUCGAACGUGAAAUCCCCGGGCUCAACCCGGGAACUGCGUCCGAUACUGGAAGGCUUGAAUCCGGGAGAGGGAUGUGGAAUUCCAGGUGUAGCGGUGAAAUGCGUAGAUAUCUGGAGGAAUACCGGUGGCGAAGGCGGCAUCCUGGACCGGCAUUGACGCUGAGUGAGCGAAAGCCAGGGGAGCAAACGGG